UACGAAGGGGGCUAGCGUUGUUCGGAAUUACUGGGCGUAAAGCGCGCGCAGGCGGUUCUUCAAGUCAGUGGUGAAAGCCCGGAGCUCAACUCCGGAAUUGCCAUUGAAACUGUAGAACUUGAGUACGAGAGAGAUGAGUGGAAUUCCCAGUGUAGAGGUGAAAUUCGUAGAUAUCGAGAGGAACACCGGUGGCGAAGGCGGCCAACUGGACGAGUACUGACGCUGAGACACGAAAGCGUGGGGAGCAAACAGG
rnacentral:rRNA from 1 species